UGGGGAAUAUUGGACAAUGGGCGCAAGCCUGAUCCAGCCAUGCCGCGUGAGUGAUGAAGGCCCUAGGGUUGUAAAGCUCUUUCACCGGUGAAGAUAAUGACGGUAACCGGAGAAGAAGCCCCGGCUAACUUCGUGCCAGCAGCCGCGGUAAUACGAAGGGGGCUAGCGUUGUUCGGAUUUACUGGGCGUAAAGCGCACGUAGGCGGACUUUUAAGUCAGGGGUGAAAUCCCGGGGCUCAACCCCGGAACUGCCUUUGAUACUGGAAGUCUUGAGUAUGGUAGAGGUGGGUGGAAUUCCGAGUGGAGGGGUGAAAUUCGUAGAUAUUCGGAGGAACACCAGUGGCGAAGGCGGCUCACUGGACCAUUACUGACGCUGAGGUGCGAAAGCGUGGGGAGCAAACAGG
rnacentral:rRNA from 1 species